rnacentral:rRNA from 1 species
UGGAUGAGUCCGCGGCCCAUUAGCUAGUUGGUAGGGUAAUGGCCUACCAAGGCACGAUGGGUAGCUGGUCUGAGAGGAUGAUCAGCCACACUGGAACUGAGACACGGUCCAG